CCUACGGGUGGCAGCAGUAGGGAAUAUUGCUCAAUGGGGGAAACCCUGAAGCAGCAACGCCGCGUGGAGGAUGAAGGUCUUCGGAUUGUAAAGUUCUUUUCUAAGGGAAGAAGAAAGUGACGGUACCUUAGGAAUAAGCCUCGGCUAACUACGUGCCAGCAGCCGCGGUAAUACGUAGGAGGCAAGCGUUAUCCGGAAUGACUGGGCGUAAAGGGUGCGUAGGUGGUUCAGCAAGUUAGUAGCGUAACUCCGGGGCUCAACCUCGGCACUACUACUAAAACUGUUGGACUUGAGUGCAGGAGGGGCAACUGGAAUUCCUAGUGUAGCGGUGGAAUGCGUAGAUAUUAGGAGGAACACCAGUGGCGAAGGCGAGUUGCUGGACUGUAACUGACACUGAGGCACGAAAGCGUGGGGAGCAAACAGGAUUAGAUACCCGAGUAGUC
rnacentral:rRNA from 1 species